rnacentral:misc_RNA from 1 species
AGUCGUAACAAGGUUUCCGUAGGUGAACCUGCGGAAGGAUCAUUAAAGUAAAACGCUUAAUUGCUAAAUACUGUGUUUUUAUUAUAAGAAACUUUUUAUAACUUCAAAUUAAUUUAUUUUAAAAAUUUAGUCAAAAGAUAUAUUUUAAUAUCAAAACUUUCAACAACGGAUCUCUUGGUUCUCGCAUCGAUGAAGAACGCAGCGAAAUGCGAUAAGUAAUAUGAAUUGCAGAUUUUCGUGAAUCAUCGAAUCUUUGAACGCACAUUGCGCCCUAUGGUAUUCCAUAGGGCAUGCCUGUUUGAGCGUCAUUUCUCCCUCAAACUUUUAGUUUGGUGAUGAGUUUUACGCUUUUUAUUUUUAGCAAUAAAAAUAUAUAAAAGGGUUAACUUGAAAUUUAUAACGAUUUUAAUGAAUUAGGUUUUACCAAGUCAUUAUAAUUAUUAUUAUAAAAAGUUUGACCUCAAAUCAGGUAGGAUUACCCGCU